rnacentral:tRNA from 1 species
GCGAGCUUAGCUCAGCGGUAGAGCAAGGCUUUUACACAGCUUAGGUCGGGGGUUCGAUCCCCUCAGCUCGCACCA